rnacentral:rRNA from 1 species
UACGUAGGGGGCAAGCGUUGUCCGGAAUCAUUGGGCGUAAAGAGCGUGUAGGCGGCCAGAAAAGUCCGCUGUGAAAACUCGAGGCUCAACUUCGAGCUGUCGGCGGAAACCAUCUGGCUAGAGUCCGGAAGAGGAGAAUGGAAUUCCCGGUGUAGCGGUGAAAUGCGCAGAUAUCGGGAAGAACACCCGUGGCGAAGGCGGUUCUCUGGGCAACAACUGACGCUGAGGUGCGAAAGCGUGGGGAGCAAACAGG